rnacentral:lncRNA from 1 species
ACUCAAAAAUCACGUUUCUAAAAGUCGUGGUGUUGAUUUAUGUGAAAACAGUCCCGUUUCUAGGAACUGUUUUGGAUCAGUCCGUAGCAGGGGCAUUUUCGUCCCCUUUUUGUGCUUUAUAAAUUCUGGAAAAAUUUUGGGUGUUAAUAUCAGUAGAUAUACAGGUUGUGUAAAAAUUUGAGAAUUUUUGGCCAUACGGUUUGAGAGAUAUGGAUUUUACGGUGAAGGACCCCAAAACUGUUUUUUUUUGGCCAAAACGUUGCUGCCACAAAAAGGAAAUUUCGGGGUUAGCUAGCCUGCUCUAAAAAUUCUGGGCUUUUGGUAUGUUAUAGUACACUCAAUAAGCUUUCCAUAGACUCCAACACGGACUAAAUCCGACAUCGGAGGAGAGAGUUAGGAAAUUUCUCCCAAACUACUCAAAGGUAAGAAAAACUGUUAGAGCAACAGUUUUUAGCAGCCACUUCCGGGCUAAAUUCCGAGAGCUUAACAUCCAAAUAUGGAGAUUGUGAUAGAUGAAAACUAUAGUUCGGAAAGUUACGAAUCCAACAAAAUUAACGGAUCGUUAAUCGGAGUUACAGAUCUCGUUUUAUAUAAGUUUUAGCAAAGGACUCUUAAACUGUUUUAUGACAAAAAGUUGCUGUCCAAGAAAUGGUAGGGGCUGUUUUGGAAACUUAAAUUGUGAAAUAAAUUCUGGCCUUUUGGGAAAUGAAAAUAUAUGGUAUUAAGUACCUAGUGUCCAAAAAUGAGCUAAUUCCGGCUUAAAACGACCAAGUUAUGACCAUUUCAAUUUUUGUGAUUUUCUGACGGAAAUCGCUAUAACCGGAGUUCUACAACUCUGAUUGCCACGAAAUUUAAAAUGGAGCAUCACGUUAACAUAUAUAAGGUUAUGUCAAAAGAUGGGCAUCUCUGGAGUUAAGCACGAGGUAGCUAAUUUUCUUAAGUCACGCACUAAUUAUGAUUUUUGAAAAAUAGUAAAAGAAAUUGAAAAAUUACGGAAAAAUAUUUUUUAUGUAUGAAAUACAUGUAUAUAUGUUUGAC